AAAGUACAUUUAUGUUGGUCAGCUCUCCAUCCCAAGCAAAAACUUGCAAAGAUAGCAGGCCCAAGCUUGUUGCUGGUUCCCCAGAAGGAUUUCCUGGUCAUGUUGAUGGGAAGGUUCGAGAGGCAAGGAUGAACCAUCCAAAGGGAUUUACAGUGGAUGACAGGGGUAACAUCUAUGUGGCUGAUGCCAUGAACAUGGCCAUUAGAAAGAUCAGUGAUACAGGUAAGCUAAAAUGUCCUGUGGUAGUGUAGAUCCAUAUGCUUUUGUCUGUUCCUUGUGCAUCCUAUGUUUGCCUUUUGGUUCUAUAGCUGGUCUUGUCCAGCAUGUAUUCAGCAACUGGAUCCAAAACUACAUUCCGAAAUAUUAAACUGGUCUUGAGUAAA